rnacentral:rRNA from 1 species
UAGUUGGUGAGGUAACGGCUCACCAAGGCGACGAUGCGUAGCCGACCUGAGAGCGUGAUCGGCCACACUGGGACUGAGACACGGCCCAGACUCCUACGGGAGGCAGCAGUAGGGAAUCUUCCGCAAUGGACGAAAGUCUGACGGAGCAACGCCGCGUGAGCGAAGAAGGUCUUCGGAUUGUAAAGCUCUGUUGUUAGGGAAGAACAAGUACCGUUCGAAUAGGGCGGUACCGUGACGGUACCUAACGAGAAAGCCACGGCUAACUACGUGCCAGCAGCCGCGGUAAUACGUAGGUGGCAAGCGUUGUC